rnacentral:piRNA from 1 species
UACAUUGCGGUGAUGGGUCUGCUUGAGGU